AGUGAACGCUGGCGGUAGGCCUAACACAUGCAAGUCGAACGGCAGCACAGUAAGAGCUUGCUCUUACGGGUGGCGAGUGGCGGACGGGUGAGGAAUACAUCGGAAUCUACUUUUUCGUGGGGGAUAACGUAGGGAAACUUACUCUAAUACCGCAUACGCCCUACGGGUGAAAGCAGGGGAUCUUCGGACCUUGCGCGAUUGAAUGAGCCGAUGUCGGAUUAGCUAGUUGGCGGGGUAAAGGCCCACCAAGGCGACGAUCCGUAGCUGGUCUGAGAGGAUGAUCAGCCACACUGGAACUGAGACACGGUCCAGAGUCCUACGGGAGGCAGCAGUGGGGAAUAUUGGACAAUGGGCGCAAGCAUGAUACAGCCAUACCGCGUGGGUGAAGAAGGCCUUCGGGUUGUAAAGCCCUUUUGUUGGGAAAGAAAAGCAGCAGGUUAAUACCCCGCUGUUCUGACGGUACCCAAAGAAUAAGCACCGGCUAACUUCGUG
rnacentral:rRNA from 1 species